GACAAUCAAAUAUCACAAUGUGUUGACCAAAUAUCUCAGUAUCGAUACCGCAACGAUAUUGUAGUGUUGACUAUUGGUGCUUUCACAAAAAUAUUCACACAAUGAGAUUUUUGAUAAAAAAUAAUCAGUAUUGUGGAUAUCAAGACUAAGUGGGUAAAGGCAAAUAAUAAAACAGUUACAACAGUCUGCCAAGUUCAGAUAAUAUCACUUUCCUGUAACGCCGCCUUUAAAACCAGGAAGACACCACUUAUGUCAUAUUACGAUAUCCAAAAUCUAAGACGAUAUCUAGUCUCAUAACACAAUAUUGAUAUAGUAUCAAUAUAUUGCCCAGCUCCACCACAGACAUGUUGUAUUGACAGCCGUUUACAAAGAAGUUGAAAGUGCCUUACCUUCACCGAUGAGUGCACAUUAUCUGUGCUUGUCAGAGGAUUUAUGAGUAUGAUUGUUAAGGGAAAUGGUACAUUAUCUAAAGACUAAAAAGCUGACAAGUUCUGAAUUAUUGAUUGUCAAAAAACAUCUGUUCUUGUCAUUAAACGGAGACAAACCAAAAAAAAAAAGCUACUUUAUCCCUGACAACAAAUGUGGCCUUGAGCUAAGCAGAUAACUCCAACUGAUCUGGGGAAGCAGUGAAGUU